rnacentral:rRNA from 1 species
CACUCUAGAGAGACUGCCAGGGAUAACCUGGAGGAAGGUGGGGAUGACGUCAAAUCAUCAUGCCCCUUAUGCUUAGGGCUACACACGUGCUACAAUGGGUAGUACAGAGGGUUGCCAAGCCGUAAGGCGGAGCUAAUCCCUUAAAGCUACUCUCAGUUCGGAUUGUAGGCUGAAACUCGCCUACAUGAAGCUGGAGUUACUAGUAAUCGCAGAUCAGAAUGCUGCGGUGAAUGCGUUCCCGGGGCUUGUACACACCGCCCGUCACACCACGGGAGUUGGAGACGCCCGAAGCCGAUUAUCUAACCUUUUGGAAGAAGUCGUCGAAGGUGGAAUCAAUAACUGGGGUGAAGUCGUAACAAGGUAGCCGUAUCGGAAGGUGAGGCUGGAUCACCUCCUUUCUAAGGAGA